rnacentral:sRNA from 2 species
AAUUGAAUAGAAGCGCUUACUAAAUGGAAGUCCGGUGAGAAUCCGGCACGGUCCCGCCACUGUGAUUAGUGUUUAGUACUAUAAGCCAGGUCUUUUUAGUAGGAUGCUUGGGCGGGUACGCUAUCUCGUGGAGUAGGUAGGGUAUCCAUA